rnacentral:rRNA from 1 species
AAAUUGAAGAGUUUGAUCAUGGCUCAGAUUGAACGCUGGCGGCAGGCCUAACACAUGCAAGUCGAACGGUAACAGGAAGCAGCUUGCUGCUUCGCUGACGAGUGGCGGACGGGUGAGUAAUGUCUGGGAAACUGCCUGAUGGAGGGGGAUAACUACUGGAAACGGUGGCUAAUACCGCAUAACGUCGCAAGACCAAAGAGGGGGACCUUCGGGCCUCUUGCCAUCAGAUGUGCCCAGAUGGGAUUAGCUUGUUGGUGAGGUAACGGCUCACCAAGGCGACGAUCCCUGGCUGGUCUGAGAGGAUGACCAGCCACACUGGAACUGAGACACGGUCCAGACUCCUACGGGAGGCAGCAGUGGGGAAUAUUGCACAAUGGGCGCAAGCCUGAUGCAGCCAUGCCGCGUGUAUGAAGAAGGCCUUCGGGUUGUAAAGUACUUUCAGCGGGGAGGAAGGUGUUGUGGUUAAUAACC